rnacentral:rRNA from 1 species
UACGAGUGCUCCAAGCGUUAUCCGGAAUUAUUGGGCGUAAAGGGUGUGUAGGCGGUCGUGUUAGUCUUCUGUGAAAUUCUCAGGCUUAACCUGAGACCCGCAGAGGAAACGGCACGACUUCGAGGAUGUGAGAGGUAAAUGGAACUCAUGGUGUAGGGGUGAAAUCCGUUGAUAUCAUGGGGAACACCACAUGCGAAGGCAAUUUACUGGCACAUUCCUGACGCUGAGACACGAAAGCGUAGGUAGCGAA